GUUUUUCUCCAGCCACCGUCGGGUUGAGAAUACCACGAUUUCACCAAGAGAGAGCAACGCUUUCCAGCGUAGCUCAGCGGCUGGCGUCAGAGAUACAGGAUGGUCUUCCAGCUCAGUGAGCCGUGCUGCCCAGCAACCCACCUAUUUAUCACUAGCCUAAUCACAGACUGAUCGGAAGGUGACGGUAACUCAAAUAACCACAAGUUACAACAGUGGUCUGCAAAAAAGCAUCUCUGACUGCACAACAUGUCGCACCUUGAAGUGGAUGGGCUACAUCAGCAGAAGACCACAAAGAUACACUGAGUGGCUGCUUUAUUAGGUAGUGGAGGUAUUUAAUUAACUGGCCAUUGAAUGUAUUGGUAUGCUUUGGUUUUGACCAUUCUCACAACUGAACCAAUGCCUCCUUAUUUAUCCCAUCAAAGCCCUUCCUGAUUUUGAAGAUUCCUUUUAAUCUUCUCCUCGGAGAAUGCAGCUCAUCAGGAGUUUCACUGCCCAAAACUUGUCCUUGUCCAAGGUGUGAUUACACUUGCAAACCUGCAAUGGCUCAUUGUCCUCGAAAUGCUCAAACUCAAAGUGCUC